rnacentral:rRNA from 1 species
UACGGAGGGCGCGAGCGUUAAUCGGAAUUACUGGGCGUAAAGCGCGCGUAGGCUGUUGUGUAAGUUGGGGGUGAAAUCCCACGGCUCAACCGUGGAACAGCCCUUGAUACUGCGCGACUUGAAUCCGGGAGAGGGUGGCGGAAUUCCAGGUGUAGGAGUGAAAUCCGUAGAUAUCUGGAGGAACAUCAGUGGCGAAGGCGGCCACCUGGAUCGGUAUUGACGCUGAGGCGCGAAAGCGUGGGGAGCAAACAGG